AUUGAACGCUGGCGGCAGGCCUAACACAUGCAAGUCGAACGAGUGGCGGACGGGUGAGUAAUGUCUGGGAAACUUCCUGAUGGAGGGGGAUAACUACUGGAAACGGUAGCUAAUACCGCAUACCCUCGGAUGUGCCCAGGUGGGAUUAGCUAGUGGGUGGGGUAACGGCUCACCUAGGCGACGAUCCCUAGCUGGUCUGAGAGGAGGACCAGCCAAACGGGAAAUAGGACACGGUCCAGACUCCUACGGGAGGCAGCAGGGGGGAAUAUUGCACAAUGGGCGAAAGCCUGAUGCAGCCAUGCCGCGUGUAUGAAGAAGGCCUUCGGGUUGUAAAGUACUUUCAGCGGGGAGGCGUUACCCGCAGAAGAAGCACCGGCUAACUCCGUGCCAGCCGCCGCGGUAAUUC
rnacentral:rRNA from 1 species